AACGUACGCUGGCGGCACGCCUAACACAUGCAAGUCGAGCGGGGUAGCAAUACCUAGCGGCAGACGGGUGCGUAACAUGUGGGAAUCUGCCUUUUGGUUCGGAACAACAUGGGGAAACCUGUGCUAAUACCGGAUAAGUCCUAACGGAGAAAGUUUUAAUGCCAAAAGAUGAGCCCGCAUUUGAUUAGCUUGUUGGUGAGGUAAAAGCUCACCAAGGCUAUAAUCAAUAGCUGAUUUGAGAGGAUGAUCAGCCACACUGGGACUGAGAUACGGCCCAGACUCCUACGGGAGGCAGCAGUGGGGAAUCUUGCACAAUGGGCGAAAGCCUGAUGCAGCGAUGCCGCGUGAGUGAAGAAGGCCUUUGGGUUGUAAAGCUCUUUUGUCGGGAAAGAUAAUGACUGUACCCGAAGAAUAAGGUCCGGCUAACUUCGUGCCAGCAGCCGCGGUAAUACGAAGGGACCUAGCGUAGUUCGGAAUUACUGGGCGUAAAGAGUAUGUAGGCGGCUAGAUAAGUUAAUUGUGAAAGCCCAAAGCUUAACUUUGGAACUGCAAUUAAAACUAUUUAGCUAGAGUAUGAUAGAGGAAAGCGGAAUACAUAGUGUAGAGGUGAAAUUCGUAGAUAUUAUGUAGAACACCAGUUG
rnacentral:rRNA from 1 species